rnacentral:lncRNA from 1 species
GGGAGAAUCCCCUCCCUUGCCCUGCUGGCCUCGCUUCUUUUGAUGCAGCCCAGGAUAAGGUUGGCUCUCUGGGUUGCCAGCUCAUGUCGAGCUUCUCAUCAACCAGCACCCCCAGGUCCUUCUCCUCAGGGCAGCUCUCAACCCAUUCUCCACCCAGCCUGUAUUUGUGCUUGGGACUGCCCCAACCCAGAUGCAGGACCCUGCACUUGGCCUUGUUGAACGUCAUGAGGUUCCCACAGCCCCACUUCUCAAACCUGUCCAGGUUCCCUCUGGAUGGCAUCCCUUCCCUCCAGCAUGUCAAAUUUUAGCACCUCCAACUGCUUUUCCAAUUGGUUUGGCAUUAUAGCCUACUAAGCUGGUUCCCAGAUGUUUCCAAAAGAUUUGUUUGGCUUUACUGUUGCAUUUCUCAUGCAGAAGUCCUAUGAGUGGUGAAAAUGCAAUGAUGGGAUGUGAAAGCAGCAAUACUUUGUGUACCUGUGAUUCAUCAUACACAUAACUGACACCAUGAUUUGAAGAGGAAGCUACAAAUCAUUGAACCCAGCUAUUCCAUCAGCAUCAUUGAACUGCAGUCCUAAUCCCACUGGUUGUCUACAAACCUUGGAUUUAUGAAAAGAAGGGAUGGAAAAUGGGAGUACUGCUAUUUGAACUUCCACUAUUGCAAUCAUUAAAUAUUUAGCAUUCAUUGGAACUGCUGAUAAUGGUGAGAUGCCUGUAAAAAUGGGUACUCACAGGUCUACAGUCCAGAGAGGAAAAUUACAAGUACUUCGUCAGACUGCACAUAUGCCAUGGGCUGCAGGACUUCCCAUGCUGGUGCUGGAUUUUCAAAUGCCGCUGAGGAUUGACUUAAAGACAAUGAGUGAAAGAAAAUCUAGAUCCCUGGAUGUUUUGUUGCAAGCCCUCGAGGUUAAAAAUGGUCUUUUUUUCAAGGUUAAAUACAUUUAUUUUCUGCAUCCAGG